GACGAACGCUGGCGGCGUGCUUAACACAUGCAAGUCGAGCGGAAAGGCCUCUUCGGGGGUACUCGAGCGGCGAACGGGUGAGUAACACGUGAGUAAUCUGCCCCGGACUUUGGGAUAGCCACCGGAAACGGUGAUUAAUACCGGAUAUGACGCACUCAGGCAUCUGAUGUGUGUGGAAAGUUUUUUCGGUUCGGGAUGUGCUCGCGGCCUAUCAGCUUGUUGGUGGGGUAAUGGCCUACCAAGGCUUUGACGGGUAGCCGGCCUGAGAGGGUGACCGGCCACACUGGGACUGAGACACGGCCCAGACUCCUACGGGAGGCAGCAGUGGGGAAUAUUGGACAAUGGGCGGAAGCCUGAUCCAGCAACGCCGCGUGAGGGAUGACGGCCUUCGGGUUAUAAAGCGCUUUAGUGGGGGAGAAAAGCCCGAAAGGGUUUGAUCUAUCCCAAAAAUAAGCUCGGGCUAAGUUCGUGCCAGCAGCCGCGGUAAGACGAACCGAGCGAACGUUGUUCGGAAUCACUGGGCUUAAAGGGCGCGUAGGCGGGCUGUCAAGUCUGGGGUGAAAUCCCACGGCNCAACCGNGGAACUGCCUUAGAUACUGACGGCCUCGAGGGAGAUAGGGGCGAGCGGAACUGUGAGUGGAGCGGUGAAAUGCGUUGAUAUUCACAGGAACUCCGGUGGCGAAGGCGGCUCGCUGGAUCUUUUCUGACGCUGAGCGCGAAAGCUAGGGAGCAAACGGGAUUAGAUACCCCGNUAGUCCUAGCCCUAACGUUGGG
rnacentral:rRNA from 1 species